GAUGAACGCUGGCGGCGUGCUUAACACAUGCAAGUCGAACGAGAAAUGGAGACGGACACCUUCGGGCGGAAGGCUUCAUUUCGAGUGGCGGACGGGUGAGUAACGCGUGGGUAACCUGCCUCAUACAGGGGGAUAACAGUUGGAAACGACUGUUAAUACCGCAUAAGACCACAGCACCGCAUGGUGCGGGGGUAAAAACUCCGGUGGUAUGAGAUGGACCCGCGUUCGAUUAGCCAGUUGGCGGGGUAACGGCCCACCAAAGCGACGAUCGAUAGCCGAUCUGAGAGGAUGACCGGCCACAUUGGGACUGAGACACGGCCCAAACUCCUACGGGAGGCAGCAGUGGGGAAUAUUGCACAAUGGGGGAAACCCUGAUGCAGCGACGCCGCGUGAGUGAAGAAGUACUUCGGUAUGUAAAGCUCUAUCAGCAGGGAAGAAAAUGACGGUACCUGAGUAAGAAGCCCCGGCUAACUACGUG
rnacentral:rRNA from 1 species